rnacentral:rRNA from 1 species
CCUACGGGUGGCUGCAGUGGGGAAUAUUGGACAAUGGGGGCAACCCUGAUCCAGCCAUGCCGCGUGUGUGAAGAAGGCCCUCGGGUUGUAAAGCACUUUCAGUGAGGAAGAACGCCUGGUGGUGAAUACCCAUCAGGAAAGACAUCACUCACAGAAGAAGCACCGGCUAACUCCGUGCCAGCAGCCGCGGUAAUACGGAGGGUGCGAGCGUUAAUCGGAAUUACUGGGCGUAAAGCGCGCGUAGGUGGCUUGAUAAGCCGGUUGUGAAAGCCCCGGGCUCAACCUGGGAACGGCAUCCGGAACUGUCAAGCUAGAGUGCAGGAGAGGAAGGUAGAAUUCCCGGUGUAGCGGUGAAAUGCGUAGAGAUCGGGAGGAAUACCAGUGGCGAAGGCGGCCUUCUGGACUGACACUGACACUGAGGUGCGAAAGCGUGGGUAGCAAACAGGAUUAGAUACCCGAGUAGUC